rnacentral:rRNA from 1 species
UUUAACGGCCGCGGUACUCUGACCGUGCGAAGGUAGCAUAAUCAUUUGUCUUAUAAUUGAAGUCUAGAAUGAAUGGCUUGACAAGAGUAAUGCUGUCUUUAACUUUCUAUUAUAAUUUUAUCACUAAGUUAAAAAGCUUAGAUACAAUUAAAAGACGAGAAGACCCUAUCGAGCUUCAGGAAAUUACUAAAAUUCUUAACAUUUAUGUAAAUAGAAUAUUUUAUAAAACUUUGGUUGGGGCGACCCGAGAACAAAAAAAGCUUCUCAUAAUAAUAUUUAUUGGUUGAUUUAGAUCCACUUGUUGUGAUAAAAAGAAUUAGUUACCGUAGGGAUAACAGCAUUAUCUUUUUUGAGAGCUCUAAUCGAAAAAAAGGUUUGUGACCUCGAUGUUGGACCAGCAUAACCUGAAGAUGUAGAAGUCUUUAAARGUUGGUCUGUUCGACC